AUUGAACGCUGGCGGCAUGCUUUACACAUGCAAGUCGAACGGUAACACGCCUUCUUGUACCUACGAGUGGGUGACGGGUGAGUAAUUCAUACGUCCGUGCCUAUCCUUUGGUGAUGGCUAAGCCGAAGCUAUCCGAAUUCAUCCUGUGUACUGAGUAUGAAAGCGGGGGACCGGGCAUCAAUGUUUGCCCUCUCGCCUUUGGCGCUGCCGAUGUCUGAUUAGGUAGUUGGUGGGGUAAAGGCCUACCAAGCCGACGAUCUGUAGCUGGUCUGAGAGGACGACCAGCCACACUGGGACUGAGACACGGCCCAGACUCCUACGGGAGGCAGCAGUGGGGAAUUUUGGACAAUGGGCGAAAGCCUGAUCCAGCAAUGCCGCGUGUGUGAAGAAGGCCUUCGGGUUGUAAAGCGCUUUUGUACGGAAAGAAAAGGCUCGGGCUAAUACGGGCGGGGGAUGACGGUACCGGAAGAAUAAGCACCGGCUAACUACGUG
rnacentral:rRNA from 1 species